rnacentral:rRNA from 1 species
AUAACAGCUGGAAACGGCUGCUAAUACCGCAUAAGCGCACGAGGAGACAUCUCCUUGUGUGAAAAACUCCGGUGGUACAGGAUGGGCCCGCGUCUGAUUAGCUGGUUGGCAGGGUAACGGCCUACCAAGGCAACGAUCAGUAGCCGGUCUGAGAGGAUGAACGGCCACAUUGGAACUGAGACACGGUCCAAACUCCUACGGGAGGCAGCAGUGGGGAAUAUUGCACAAUGGGGGAAACCCUGAUGCAGCAACGCCGCGUGAGUGAAGAAGUAUUUCGGUAUGUAAAGCUCUAUCAGCAGGGAAGAUAAUGACGGUACCUGACUAAGAAGCUCCGGCUAAAUACGUGCCAGCAGCCGCGGUAAUACGUAUGGAGCAAGCGUUAUCCGGAUUUACUGGGUGUAAAGGGUGCGUAGGUGGCAGUGCAAGUCAGAUGUGAAAGGCCGGGGCUCAACCCCGGAGCUGCAUUUGAAACUGCUCGGCUAGAGUACAGGAGAGGCAGGCGGAAUUCCUAGUGUAGCGGUGAAAUGCGUAGAUAUUAGGAGGAACACCAGUGGCGAAGGCGGCCUGCUGGACUGUUACUGACACUGAGGCACGAAAGCGUAGGGAGCAAACAGGAUUAGAUACCCUGGUAGUCCACGCCGUAAACGAUGAAUACUAGGUGUCGGGGCCGUAUAGGCUCCGGUGCCG